GUCCUUAGUACGAGAGGACCGGGAUGGACGUACCGCUGGUGUACCAGUUGUUCCGCCAGGAGCACCGCUGGGUAGCCAAGUACGGACGGGAUAAGCGCUGAAAGCAUCUAAGCGUGAAGCCCCCCUCAAGAUGAGAUUUCCCAAUUAGUAAGACCCCUUGAAGACGACGAGGUUGAUAGGUUCGGGGUGGAAGCACGGCAACGUGUGGAGCUGACGAAUACUAAUCGGUCGAGGGCUUAUCCUA
rnacentral:rRNA from 1 species